UACGGAAGAUGCGAGCGUUAUCCGGAUUUAUUGGGUUUAAAGGGAGCGUAGGCGGGCUGUUAAGUCAGCGGUAAAAUGUCAAGGCCCAACCUUGUCCUGCCGUUGAAACUGGCGGUCUUGAAUGCACACAAGGGAGAUGGAAUUCGUCGUGUAGCGGUGAAAUGCUUAGAUAUGACGAAGAACUCCGAUUGCGAAGGCAGUCUCCUGGGGUGCUAUUGACGCUGAGGCUCGAAAGUGCGGGUAUCAAACAGG
rnacentral:rRNA from 1 species